AGCGAACGCUGGCGGCAGGCCUAACACAUGCAAGUCGAACGAACUCUUCGGAGUUAGUGGCGGACGGGUGAGUAACACGUGGGAACGUGCCUUUUGGUUCGGAAUAACUCAGGGAAACUUGUGCUAAUACCGAAUGUGCCCUUCGGGGGAAAGAUUUAUCGCCAUUAGAGCGGCCCGCGUCUGAUUAGCUAGUUGGUGAGGUAACGGCUCACCAAGGCGACGAUCAGUAGCUGGUCUGAGAGGAUGACCAGCCACACUGGGACUGGGACACGGCCCAGACUCCUACGGGAGGCAGCAGUGGGGAAUCUUGCGCAAUGGGCGAAAGCCUGACGCAGCCAUGCCGCGUGAAUGAUGAAGGUCUUAGGAUUGUAAAAUUCUUUCACCGGGGACGAUAAUGACGGUACCCGGAGAAGAAGCCCCGGCUAACUUCGUG
rnacentral:rRNA from 1 species